rnacentral:rRNA from 1 species
CACGUAGGAGGCAAACGUUAUCCGGAUUUACUGGGCGUAAAGCGCGUGUAGGUGGUUCUGUAAGUAGGGCGUGAAAGCUCCCGGCUCAACUGGGAGAGGCCGUUCUAAACUGCAGAGCUAGAGUUUAGUAGAGGGGAGUGGAAUUUCAGGUGUAGCGGUGAAAUGCGUAGAUAUCUGGAGGAACACCAGUGGCGAAAGCGGCCUCCUGGACCAUUCCUGACACUCAGACGCGAAAGCUAGGGUAGCAAACGGG